rnacentral:rRNA from 1 species
AUUGAACGCUGGCGGCAUGCUUUACACAUGCAAGUCGAACGGCAGCGCGGGGCAACCUGGCGGCGAGUGGCGAACGGGUGAGUAAUAUAUCGGAACGUACCCAGAAGUGGGGGAUAACGUAGCGAAAGUUACGCUAAUACCGCAUACGAUCUACGGAUGAAAGUGGGGGACCUUCGGGCCUCAUGCUUGUGGAGCGGCCGAUAUCUGAUUAGCUAGUUGGUAGGGUAAAGGCCUACCAAGGCGACGAUCAGUAGCUGGUCUGAGAGGACGACCAGCCACACGGGGACUGAGACACGGCCCAGACUCCUACGGGAGGCAGCAGUGGGGAAUUUUGGACAAUGGGCGGAAGCCUGAUCCAGCAAUGCCGCGUGAGUGAAGAAGGCCUUCGGGUUGUAAAGCUCUUUUGUCAGGGAAGAGACGGCUGAGGAUAAUACCUUCGGCUAAUGACGGUACCUGAAGAAUAAGCACCGGCUAACUACGUGCCAGCCGCCGCAGUAACAC